AUUGAACGCUGGCGGCAUGCCUUACACAUGCAAGUCGAACGGCAGCGCGGGGGCAACCCUGGCGGCGAGUGGCGAACGGGUGAGUAAUAUAUCGGAACGUGCCCUAGAGUGGGGGACAACCAGUCGAAAGAUUGGCUAAUACCGCAUACGAUCUAUGGAUGAAAGUGGGGGACCGCAAGGCCUCACGCUCCUGGAGCGGCCGAUAUCUGAUUAGCUAGUUGGUGGGGUAAAGGCCCACCAAGGCGACGAUCAGUAGCUGGUCUGAGAGGACGAUCAGCCACACUGGGACUGAGACACGGCUCAGACUCCUACGGGAGGCAGCAGUGGGGAAUUUUGGACAAUGGGGGCAACCCUGAUCCAGCAAUGCCGCGUGAGUGAAGAAGGCCUUCGGGUUGUAAAGCUCUUUUGUCAGGGAAGAAACGGUGGGGGCUAAUAUCCUCUGCUAAUGACGGUACCUGAAGAAUAAGCACCGGCUAACUACGUGCCAGCAGCCGCAGUAACAC
rnacentral:rRNA from 1 species